ACAGAGGUCUCAAGCGUUGUUCGGAAUUACUGGGCGUAAAGCGUGCGUAGGCGGCGGGGUAAGUCAGAUGUGAAAGCCCAGGGCUCAACCUUGGAACUGCAUCCGAUACUGCCCCGCUUGAGUAGUGGAGGGGCGACUGGAAUUUACGGUGUAGCAGUGAAAUGCGUAGAUAUCGUAAGGAACACUAGUGGCGAAGGCGAGUCGCUGGACACUUACUGACGCUGAGGCACGAAGGCCAGGGUAGCGAAAGGG
rnacentral:rRNA from 1 species